GACGAACGCUGGCGGCGUGCCUAAUACAUGCAAGUCGAGCGGAACUGGGGGAGCUUGCUCCUUCCAGUUUAGCGGCGGACGGGUGAGUAACACGUGGGCAACCUGCCCUGCAGAUCGGGAUAACUCCGGGAAACCGGUGCUAAUACCGAAUAGUUUGGCGCCUCUCCUGAGGCGCUACGGAAAGACGGUUUCGGCUGUCACUGCAGGCAGGGCCCGCGGCGCAUUAGCUAGUUGGUGGGGUAACGGCCCCCCAAGGCGACGAUGCGUAGCCGACCUGAGAGGGUGACCGGCCACACUGGGACUGAGACACGGCCCAGACUCCUACGGGAGGCAGCAGUAGGGAAUCUUCCGCAAUGGACGCAAGUCUGACGGAGCAACGCCGCGUGAGUGACGAAGGUUUUCGGAUCGUAAAACUCUGUUGUGAGGGAAGAACACGUACCAACUAACUAUUGGUACCUUGACGGUACCUCACCAGAAAGCCACGGCUAACUACGUGCCAGCCGCCGCCGUAA
rnacentral:rRNA from 1 species